rnacentral:rRNA from 1 species
UCGAGAAUAUUUCGCAAUGGGGGAAACCCUGACGAUGCGACGCCGCGUGGGGGAUGAAGGCCUUCGGGUUGUAAACCUCUGUGUUACGGGAUGAAUUGAGCGUUGCUGAUAACGCAGCGUUUUUGACGUUACCGUAGUAGAAAGCCCCAGCUAACUACGUGCCAGCAGCUGCGGUAAUACGUAGGGGGCAAGCGUUGUCCGGAAUCACUGGGCGUAAAGCGCGCGCAGGCGGUAGAGUUAGUCAGACGUGAAAGGGUUCGGCUCAACCGAGCCAUUGCGUUUGAUACUGCUUUACUUGAGUCUAGAAGAGGAAAGUGGAAUGUAUGGUGUAGCGGUGGAAUGCUUAGAUAUCAUAUAGAACACCCGUGGCGAAGGCGGCUUUCUGGUCUAAGACUGACGCUCAUGCGCGAAAGUUUGGGGAGCAACCGGGAUUAGAUACCCCCGUAGUCC